GGGAGCAUUGUGUAAGCCUGUGAAGGUGUGUUGUAAAGCAUGCUGGAGGUAUCACAAGAGCGAAUGCUGACGUGAGUAACGACAAAACGGGUGAAAAGCCCGUUCGCCGGAAGACCAAGGGUUCCAGUCCAACGUUAAUCGGGGCUGGGUGAGUCGACCCCUAAGGCGAGGCCGAAAGGCGUAGUCGAUGGGAAAUCGGUUAAUAUUCCGAUACUUGUUUAUGAUGCGAUGGAGGGACGGAGAAGGUUAUGCCAGCUUGGCGAUGGUUGUCCAAGUGGAAGGAUGUAGUUAGGUUUAGUAGGCAAAUCCGCUAGACUAUUAAUGAGAUCUGAUAGCAAGCUGUACUUGUACAGCGAAGUGGCAAAUACCCUGCUUCCAGGAAAAGCUUCUAAGCGAUAGUCAUAAAGAAAUCGUACCCGAAACCGACACAGGUGGUCAGGUAGAGAAUACCAAGGCGCUUGAGAGAACUCUGCUGAAGGAACUAGGCAAAAUGGUACCGUAACUUCGGGAGAAGGUACGCUGCCGAUGGUGAGUAGACAUGCUCUACAAAGCUAUUGGCAGUCGCAGAUACCAGGCCGCUGCAACUGUUUAUUAAAAACACAGCACUCUGCAAACACGAAAGUGGACGUAUAGGGUGUGAUGCCUGCCCGGUGCUGGAAGGUUAAUUGAUGGGGUUAGCGUAAGCGAAGCUCUUGAUCGAAGCCCCAGUAAACGGCGGCCGUAACUAUAACGGUCCUAAGGUAGCGAAAUUCCUUGUCGGGUAAGUUCCGACCUGCACGAAUGGCAUAAUGAUGGCGGCGCUGUCUCCAGCAGAGACUCAGUGAAAUCGAAAUCGCAGUGAAGAUGCUGUGUACCCGCGGCUAGACGGAAAGACCCCGUGAACCUUUACUACAGCUUUACAUUGAACUUUGACCUUACCUGUGUAGGAUAGGUGGGAGGCUUUGAAGCAGGCACGCCAGUGUCUGUGGAGCCAUCCUUGAAAUACCACCCUGGUAAUGUUGGGGUUCUAACUCAAGCUUAACAGAGCUGAGGACAAUGUAUGGUGGGUAGUUUGACUGGGGCGGUCUCCUCCUAAAGAGUAACGGAGGAGUACGAAGGUGCGCUCAGAACGGUCGGAAAUCGUUCGAAGAGUAUAAAGGCAAAAGCGCGCUUAACUGCGAGACCCACAAGUCGAGCAGAUACGAAAGUAGGUCUUAGUGAUCCGGUGGUUCUGUAUGGAAGGGCCAUCGCUCAACGGAUAAAAGGUACUCUGGGGAUAACAGGCUGAUACCGCCCAAGAGUUCAUAUCGACGGCGGUGUUUGGCACCUCGAUGUCGGCUCAUCUCAUCCUGGGGCUGAAGCAGGUCCCAAGGGUAUGGCUGUUCGCCAUUUAAAGAGGUACGCGAGCUGGGUUUAGAACGUCGUGAGACAGUUCGGUCCCUAUCUACCGUGGGCGUUGGAAAUUUGAGAGGAUCUGCUCCUAGUACGAGAGGACCAGAGUGGACGAACCUCUGGUGUUUCGGUUGUGACGCCAGUCGCAUUGCCGAGUAGCUAUGUUCGGAUGGGAUAACCGCUGAAAGCAUCUAAGCGGGAAGCCCACCUUAAGAUUAGAUUUCCCUAAAGAGCCGUUGUAGACUACGACGUUGAUAGGUUGGGUGUGGAAGCAUAGUGAUAUGUGUAGCUAACCAAUACUAAUUGCUCGUUUGGCU
rnacentral:rRNA from 1 species